CCUACGGGUGGCAGCAGUGGGGAAUAUUGCACAAUGGGGGGAACCCUGAUGCAGCGACGCCGCGUGGGUGAAGAAGCGCCUCGGCGCGUAAAGCCCUGUCAGCAGGGAAGAAAAUGACGGUACCUGAAGAAGAAGCCCCGGCGAACUACGUGCCACCAGCCGCGGUAAUACGUAGGGGGCAAGCGGUAUCCGGAUUUACUGGGUGUAAAGGGGGCGCAGACGGCGAUGCAAGCCAGGAGUGAAAGCCGGGGGCGCAACCCCGGGACUGCUUGUGAAACUGCGUGGCUGGAGUGCAGGAGGGGCAGGUGGAAUUCCUGGUGUAGCGGUGAAAUGCGUAGAUAUCAGGAGGAACACCAGUGGCGAAGGCGGCUUGCUGGACUGCAACUGACGUUGAGGCCCGAAAGCGUGGGGAGCAAACAGGAGUAGAUACCCCAGUAGUC
rnacentral:rRNA from 1 species